AGGGGGUUAGUCUAACUUAAGACUUCCGAUUUCGGCUCAGGCAAUUUUGGUUAAAAUCCAAAACCCCCUU
rnacentral:tRNA from 1 species